rnacentral:rRNA from 1 species
UACUGCAAGUCGAGCGAAUCGAUGGGAGCUUGCUCCCUGAGAUUAGCGGCGGACGGGUGAGUAACACGUGGGCAACCUGCCUAUAAGACUGGGAUAACUUCGGGAAACCGGAGCUAAUACCGGAUACGUUCUUUUCUCGCAUGAGAGAAGAUGGAAAGACGGUUUACGCUGUCACUUAUAGAUGGGCCCGCGGCGCAUUAGCUAGUUGGUGAGGUAAUGGCUCACCAAGGCGACGAUGCGUAGCCGACCUGAGAGGGUGAUCGGCCACACUGGGACUGAGACACGGCCCAGACUCCUACGGGAGGCAGCAGUAGGGAAUCUUCCGCAAUGGACGAAAGUCUGACGGAGCAACGCCGCGUGAACGAAGAAGGCCUUCGGGUCGUAAAGUUCUGUUGUUAGGGAAGAACAAGUACCAGAGUAACUGCUGGUACCUUGACGGUACCUAACCAGAAAGCCACGGCUAACUACGUGCCAGCAGCCG